rnacentral:rRNA from 1 species
AUUAUGGCUCAGGAUGAACGCUGGCGGCGUGCCUAACACAUGCAAGUCGAGCGAGAUACUGAUGAUUGAAACUUCGGUAGAUUGAUUCGGUGGAAAGCGGCGGACGGGUGAGUAACGCGUAGGCAACCUGCCCCUUACACAGGGAUAGCCAUUGGAAACGAUGAUUAAAACCUGAUGACACCUAAUGAUGACAUCUUCACUAGGUCAAAGAUUUAUCGGUAAGGGAUGGGCCUGCGUCUGAUUAGAUAGUUGGUGAGGUAACGGCCCACCAAGUCAACGAUCAGUAGCCGACCUGAGAGGGUGAUCGGCCACAUUGGAACUGAGACACGGUCCAAACUCCUACGGGAGGCAGCAGUGGGGAAUAUUGCACAAUGGGGGAAACCCUGAAUGCAGCAACGCCGCGUGAAGGAAGAAGGUCUUCGGAUCGUAAACUUCUGUCCUUGAGGAAGAUAAUGACGGUACUCUUGGAGGAAGCCCCGGCUAACUACGUGCCAGCCGCCGC